rnacentral:rRNA from 1 species
AGAGCGAACGCUGGCGGCAGGCCUAAAACAUGCAAGUCGAACGGACCCUUCGGGGUUAGUGGCGGACGGGUGAGUAACACGUGGGAACGUGCCCUUUGGUUCAGAACAACUCAGGGAAACUUGAGCUAAUACUGAAUAAGCCCUACGGGGGAAAGAUUUAUCGCCAUUGGAGCGGCCCGCGUCUGAUUAGCUAGUUGGUGAGGUAAAGGCUCACCAAGGCUACGAUCAGUAGCUGGUCUGAGAGGAUGAUCAGCCACACUGGGACUGAGACACGGCCCAGACUCCUACGGGAGGCAGCAGUUAGGAAUCUUGCGCAAUGGGCGAAAGCCUGACGCAGCCAUGCCGCGUGAAUGAUGAAGGUCUUAGGAUUGUAAAAUUCUUUCAGUGGGAAGAUAAUGACUGUACCACAGAAGAAGACUCCGGCUAACUUCGUGCCAGCAGCCGC